rnacentral:rRNA from 1 species
AGGAAUAUUGGUCAAUGGCCGCAAGGCUGAACCAGCCAAGUAGCGUGAGGGAAGACUGCCCUAUGGGUUGUAAACCUCUUUUAUGCGGGGAUAAAGGUGUCCACGUGUGGAUGUUUGCAGGUACCGCAUGAAUAAGGACCGGCUAAUUCCGUGCCAGCAGCCGCGGUAAUACGGAAGGUCCGGGCGUUAUCCGGAUUUAUUGGGUUUAAAGGGAGCGUAGGCCGGUCUUUAAGCGUGCCGUGAAAUUUUGUGGCUCAACCAUGAGAGUGCGGCGCGAACUGGAGACCUUGAGUGCGCGGAAGGCAGGCGGAAUUCGUGGUGUAGCGGUGAAAUGCUUAGAUAUCACGAAGAACCCCGAUUGCGAAGGCAGCCUGCCGCAGCGUUACUGACGCUGAAGCUCGAAAGCGCGGGUAUCGAAC